rnacentral:misc_RNA from 1 species
UCCGGUUUGUCACCGGCAGUCUCGCAUGAGUCCCCAACUAAAUGCUGGCAACAUGCGACGGGGGUUGCGCUCGUUGCGGGACUUAACCCAACAUCUCACGACACGAGCUGACGACAACCAUGCACCACCUGUCACUCUGUCCCCCGAAGGGGAACGUCCUAUCUCUAGGAGUGUCAGAGGAUGUCAAGACCUGGUAAGGUUCUUCGCGUUGCUUCGAAUUAAACCACAUGCUCCACCGCUUGUGCGGGCCCCCGUCAAUUCCUUUGAGUUUCAGUCUUGCGACCGUACUCCCCAGGCGGAGUGCUUAAUGUGUUAGCUGCGCCACCGAAGAGCAAGCUCCCCGACGGCUAGCAUUCAUCGUUUACGGCGUGGACUAC